CCGAAUUGCAAUGUCUGCCCGCUGUGCUAACAAGUCCAGGAAUCGGCGGCCCACCUCCUUUUCCAAUGUCAGCACACCAUUCGAGUUUGGGGCAUGAUCAAAGCCUGGCUUGCACUUCAUGAUGUACAGCCCGACGAGUGGGUUGUUCUGGACUCAGUUAAAAAUUGGUGGAGUAGGAAUGCCACAAAGCAAACUCCGUCGAGAAGGCCUCUUGUCUCAUUGAUGAUGCUCAUCUCAUGGGAAAUAUGGAAGGAACGUAAUGCUAGAGUUUUCCGCAACACUACAAUUCCGGUGGGAGUGUUGGUCGCUAAUAUCAAAGAGGAGUGCUCACUUUGGAGCUUUGCGGGAGCAAAAUAUUUGAGUAACAUUAUGCCGCGAGAGUAA
rnacentral:rRNA from 1 species